CAGCGACGCCGCGUGAGGGAUGAAGGCCUUCGGGUUGUAAACCUCUUUCAGUAGGGAAGAAGCGCAAGUGACGGUACCUACAGAAGAAGCACCGGCUAACUACGUGCCAGCAGCCGCGGUAAUACGUAGGGUGCGAGCGUUGUCCGGAAUUAUUGGGCGUAAAGAGCUUGUAGGCGGUUUGUCGCGUCUGCCGUGAAAAUCCGGGGCUCAACUCCGGACUUGCGGUGGGUACGGGCAGACUAGAGUGUGGUAGGGGAGACUGGGAAUUCCUGGUGUAGCGGUGAAAUGCGCAGAUAUCAGGAGGAACUACCGAUGGCGAAGGCAGGUCUCUGGGGCCACUACUGACGCUGAGAAGCGUAAAAGCGUGGGGAGCGAACAGGAUUAGAUACCCCUGGUAGUCCACGCCGUAAACGUUGGGAACUAGGUGUGGGUCGUCAUUCCACGAGAUCCGUGCCGCAGCUAACGCAUUAAGUUCCCCGCCUGGGGAGUACGGCCGCAAGGCUAAAACUCAAAGGAAUUGACGGGGGGCCCGCACAAGCGGCGGAGCAUG
rnacentral:rRNA from 1 species